GUUUUCGGUUAUUAACCCAUUUUCGCUCACCCCUAGGACCAGUUAGCUUUUUGGUUAUUAUUGUAUUUGGGCGUAAUGCUUGUUUUGUAGUCCUGUGCACAUGGCCAAGGGCCCAAUUCGGAAGAGAAGUCAUCUAGAACGAUUUCGAUUCUGAGUUGGCUCGAAUCAGAACCGGCUCGGUAGCGAUAUAUAUAUCUAUAUGAAACGAUGUUGGAUAUAAUUUCUCAAACUUAAAGCCAGUCUAAACAAGAAACGCCAGAUGUUGAAGAUGGUCGAAGCUGCAAUGGUCACCCAAGUCCACGUAAAGCCCCCUCUCUCCACGACCCCAUAUGUUUGCAUUUCAACAGGAAAUCUGAGAAGGAAGACAAGGGGAACGAAAUUAGCAAAGUCAUGUAAAGCUUGGAAGCUUAUUGCUGCUGCUUCCGCUUCGUCUUCGUCUUCUUCUGGGUCUUUUAAUCGAACAGUUGGUGAACAAUUGUUUCGUGGAAAUGAAAUUAGCGGAAAUAAAAAAGAGAGGAGUAAAAGCAAGAAAAGGGUGUUUUUCUUGGAUGUCAAUCCUCUUUGUUAUGCUGGAAGCACACCGAGCUUGGACUUUUUUGGUUACUGGAUUUCUCUUUUCUUCUCUCAAGUCAGCCUUAGCGACCCUGUUAUUGCUGUUCUUGAUGGAGAAGGGGGUAGUGAGCACCGCAGACAGCUGUUGCCUUCAUAUAAAGCACAUAGGAGAAAAUUCUUAAGCCAAUUAUCAGCUUGUCACAAAUUUUCAAUGGAUCAUGUUCGAAGGUCUCAAGUUGUCAUUGAUGUUCUAAGAAAAUGCAAUGUUCCAGUUGUAAAAAUGGAAGGCCAUGAAGCAGAUGACGUGGUCGCGACACUUGUAGGACAAGUCUUACAAAGAGGAUAUAGGGUGGUUAUUGCCUCGCCGGAUAAAGAUUUCAAGCAGUUGAUUUCUGAAGAUGUGCAGAUUGUUUUGCCUGUUACAGAGCUAAAACGGUGGUCCUUUUACACCGUGAAGCACUAUAAUGCUCAAUAUAAUUGUGAUCCAUGCUCUGAUCUGAGUUUUAGAUGUAUUAUGGGUGAUGAGGUUGAUGGCGUUCCUGGGAUACAAAACAUGGCUCCUGGGUUUGGUCGAAAGACUGCUUUAAAGCUUUUGAAAAAACACGGUUCAUUGGAAAAUUUGCUAAAUGCGGCAGCAGUAAGAACUGUGGGCAAACAAUAUGCACAAGAUGCCCUCACAAAACAUGCUGAUUUUUUGCGCAGGAAUUAUGAGGUUCUGGCACUGAAGAGGGAUGUUGAUGUUCAUCUUCAGGAGGAAUGGUUGAUUGAAAGAGAUAGAUGCAAUGAUUCCAUUAUCCUGUCUAACUUCCUCAAGGUGUUGGAAGAAAACAAAAUGCCCUUUCAGCAAAAGAGAUCUCAUUCUUGAAGUGGUUAAGGCCCCAACGGUAAGCUUUGAAUUUCUCAAUACAAUUAUGUGAAGAUUAAAAUAGUCAAAAUGACUUCCUUACUACUCCUAAUCUUUAUGAAGAUAAUUCUGCAUCCUUGAUUUCGCUUUAACAAUAACAAUCUAAAAUAAACUUAUCAGGUGGGGCUCUGUUGCUAGUCUUAUUGGUUUUUGGCUUGGCUACAUUACAUGGUUCUCAUUCCAUUUUUACAUAUGGUUUAUUUGAAGAACCCUGCUAUCUGACAACCAUUGCAUUCCCUUGGCAGAGGAGAGUUUAUAUAUGCUAAGAAAUGUUAUUUUCCCUGGACCAGAAAAGUAUGGGCAUAAAAUUGAUAAGGUACACUAUGCUCAUUCAUAUAUAUAUCGAUUCAAGAAUUCCAUUAUUAAUAGCAAACAACGAAUUGUCAAAAAGUGCAUAUUGAAUUUUAAACUAACCUGCAUACAGAUGAGUUUUGAUCUUGUUACCUGAUAUUUAACUUGAUUUAUCCUAUGGUUCUUCAUCUCUUAUUGGUAGAUCAAUAUUGUCACUUUAAUCACAGAUAACUCUUAAAAUAUUAAAAUCUUUAAAGUUAUUUUUGUUGUAAGAAAAGAACUAUUGUUAAAUUUAACCUUCAUGCGGCAAAAACUAUAACAUAUGGUAUAGGCAACAUGAUUGUCUAUACUAGCUCUUAGACUGUCUCCUUUCCAUGGAGUUAUUGCCAGGGCAGUGGCAUUUUUUUUCCCAAAUUGAAAAUUAGAAACAAGUGAAAAAAAGAAAGUCCAACUUGCUACUGAUAUGUGUACAAUGCUUGAAUCCAACUGUCACAAAUCUUAUUUCAGUUAGAUAUAAUAUCUCCAGGUUGUGAAGAGUGAGCUGGGAAAUGAAGAAUGUAGAACUGUACAGUGAAUACCACUUCUUUGAUCUAUGAGCUGUAGCAGCAUUGGAAGUUAAUGUCUAGUGAAGCUGAUAUUGGAACCAAUUUUCAGGUUAUAAUUUCCAAAGAUGGGUAACUGUGGAGAGCUUAGAUAGAACUUUUGUUUCUGGUUACAAUUUGCUAGAGGGAAUUGUAAUUUUUUAUCACUGUGAAAUAGUCGCUGGUUGUAAUUUAUAAUGGUUAUGGAUCUGCUAAAGCUCCAGAGUGAACACAGCAUUUUUGGAUGGAGAAUGUUCCAAGUGCUGCUGUAUACUGCACUUUCACUUCUGUUGUUGAAGAUGCAGUAGUUACAAUUUUGUGCAACAUCUGAUAACCUCCACAAUUGUGUAUGCCUCUAGGCAAAUCUUGUUCAGUGAUUUGGGCUCACUAGCCUGAACUUGUGCCAGGGCACUGUAGGGUUCGUUUU
rnacentral:misc_RNA from 1 species